rnacentral:rRNA from 1 species
AACAGGAUUAGAUACCCUGGUAGUCCACGCCGUAAACGAUGUCGACUUGGAGGUUGUGCCCUUGAGGCGUGGCUUCCGGAGCUAACGCGUUAAGUCGACCGCCUGGGGAGUACGGCCGCAAGGUUAAAACUCAAAUGAAUUGACGGGGGCCCGCACAAGCGGUGGAGCAUGUGGUUUAAUUCGAUGCAACGCGAAGAACCUUACCUACUCUUGACAUCCAGAGAACUUAGCAGAGAUGCUUUGGUGCCUUCGGGAACUCUGAGACAGGUGCUGCAUGGCUGUCGUCAGCUCGUGUUGUGAAAUGUUGGGUUAAGUCCCGCAACGAGCGCAACCCUUAUCCUUUGUUGCCAGCGGUUAGGCCGGGAACUCGAAGGAGACUGCCAGUGAUAAACUGGAGGAAGGUGGGGAUGACGUCAAGUCAUCAUGGCCCUUACGAGUAGGGCUACACACGUGCUACAAUGGCAUAUACAAAGAGAAGCGACCUCGCGAGAGCAAGCGGACCUCAUAAAGUAUGUCGUAGUCCGGAUUGGAGUCUGCAACUCGACUCCAUGAAGUCGGAAUCGCUAGUAAUCGUGGAUCAGAAUGCCACGGUGAAUACGUUCCCGGGCCUUGUACACACCGCCCGUCACACCAUGGGAGUGGGUUGCAAAAGAAGUAGGUAGCUUAACCUUCGGGAGGGCGCUUACCACUUUGUGAUUCAUGACAGGGGUGAAGUCGUAACAAGGUAACC